rnacentral:lncRNA from 1 species
AAUGUAUCUGUUGGGUUGUUUGUUAGGUAGCUAGUACCCCUGCCCCUAUAUAAUCAUCCAUCUAGCUAGCUAGUUCAUGUUUGGCUGGAAUGUGUGACUGCUUGUUUGUGCUUGGAUUUUGGGGGGCUUUGUUUGGUUUCAUGUGCCUGUUUGGAUUGCUGAUGUUGUUUUGAUUCUGUGAUUUGCAGGCUGCAUAUUUUGUUGGCUUUGUUCUUCAGCUACAACACUGCAGGGUGCCAUAAUGGGUGAAUGUGGACACCAACCUCAUCUUCUCCAUACAAAAUUAGGGUUGGUCAUUGAAUCUAUGCUGCUCUAUUAUUUUCACUGGUUAAUUCUGUGAGACCAAGCCACAUGCUAGAUGAUUUAAAACAAAAGUCCUAACUCACAUGUACAUGAACUAUGACAAUUUUCAGAUUUUCAUUAACUGCUUUCAUCUCAGCUUGACAGCCUCCAAAUAAAUAAUGGUUGUGUUGUAGAAGCUUAAACUUGGACAAGGCCCAUACAUUUUACUUCCAUCAAAUAACUAUUUUCAUUUUUCAAUUUCCAACAAAUAAUCUUCCAAUUUAUGAUUAGAUUUUAGAUAAUUUUUGGCUAUUUGGCCCAAUUCAGUACCUAUCUGAUUUUUUAUGCUCAAAUAAUGAAUAAUAAUCCUAUGUACGCACAAAAAGAACACUGGGCUGACCAAUUGUGAGCCUCCCAGCAUUCUGCCUGAACCAUGACGUCAUUCCUGAAUUGACAAAUAAUGCUGCUUGCAACUAUAGAAAUGAAAGUUAGAAUAAUAAUAUUGGCAGCCUAUCUCUAACUUUAUUAAAAGUUGUCACUAAUUGGAUUCAUAUUGAAUUUCAGGGCCAUUGUACGAGGUGCUAGGCAGCAUACUUGAUGGUGUCCACAAGUUAAAGUGCUUCACUGAAGCUUUAUUUUGUUUUGAAUUUAUUGGAGAUACUAUGACUUUGUUGUUAGUGAAAUUUCAGCAUUGAGCUUUAGGUGUUAGUGAGCUAAGAGUCAAAAAUGGUGGUUGUAUGAAUUUUUUGGUCGUAGGACAGAGGUAGAGAUGUAGUACCUAUAUGAUGUUCACUUUGACCUUACUUAUUGUAGUAGCACCCAUAUGAAUGGAUCAAUGUUAUUGUUUUAUGCUCAUUUAAUGAAUCCCCACGUUUGUAUGAUUAAUGUGUAUUGUAAUGAAUGUC